ensembl:lncRNA
GAAACCUCGUCCGUUUGAAAGCUACUUGGUUUGAAGGAGGAUGGGUCGGCCAGAGAUAAGCACCUUUUCAUCAGCAGAGAGCAACAGAACGUUUCGCCAUCAACCCUCAUUUCUCAUGUUUCUUAUGUGAACAUUACUCCCUCGAUCUCUAUUUAUAGUAUCAUAUUUUCCUGCAGUACGAAUAGCAGCUGGACUCUGUGUUCAAAUAACCAACAUAAUGAGAUACUACAGAAUCCGAGAACAGUUUCUUGCAGGAUGCUAAAUUUCAUGGGACGAUCCAUCUGUUGAUGUUUCUCCUCGGACCCUUUUUUUGCACACCGACACAUUGAAAAUGGAAAGAGGGAAAACCUCCCUCUUUCCAUUUAGAAUGCUUGCCAGCUUCUAGGUGGAGAGUGAACAGCACGACUGAAUAGUAUAAAAGUGGUAACCCCCCCCUUUCUAUUUCCAGCUCUAACUCAGCACUUUGCCGCUUCUCUCCCGUCAACGUUGUUCUCUGCACUCACAUCCACUUUGGAUGUUGUUGUUCAAUCAGCAGAUAACCGAUCAUCUCUGGAGCACAACCCCUCGUUCGCUUUCUGUCCUCCUCCGUCUCACCCGUAAUGAUCCAUCUCACGAGUCGGAUCAACACGUCCGUGACUCUGGAGAUGUCAGAGCGGCGUGGUCUGCGGGCGGAGAUGUUCCAGCUGGGACAGACUGGCUGGAGGAGCGUGAAAUAUCUCACCAACCUGCAUUAAUCCACCACUUUGUGUUGAGGAGCAUAGAGCACCUUUGGACGAAGCUAAUCUUACAUCUUCCUUUAACUUGUCUUGUUUUUGAGGUGUUGGAUUAAACUUUUCAUCCGAGUUUCUCGUUUGCGUCCGACGGAGAGUGUUAAUGAAUGGAGCUCGCUGCUGCGCCGCUCCGCGUCUGCAAAAGAUCACGGGGACGCUCCUGCAUCAGUGAGGCGCUGGGCGGGUUUUGACCCCACGAGACCUCUUUCAGCUCAUAUGAUACCACGUCAAACCUCCGUAACCCAUUUCAUCGCGAAACACACACACACACACACACACUGGAAAACAACACCCCACCUUCUGUCGAAAGCACUUGAGUCGAGAUGCGCAGCGUGAAAGUAGAAUUCCGGCUAUCUUUCCAUCCCUUUGAUACAGCCACUCUCGCUCCCUCCAAAGGGCCUCUCGCACGGAUGCUUUGUGCAGGGGAGUGAACAGGACCUCCUCUGCUUCCAUUAAACCUCGGCGUGACACGCAGGGCGACGCUUUCAUCUGUGAGGGGCCGGCCCGGAGGAUCCAGUGGGACGGAGCUCAGGCGCAGCAAUCGGCCUGCUGCAUCGGACGCCUCCUGUAUCCAUCAGCAGGGUUUUAAGAGAGACGUGACUUCCUGAUUGAAGUGCGAGCUCAGCCCUGAAAAGCCCUCCAGCCAUUUGACAGGAUUUCACGGGCAGGGACCUCGGUUGCAUCACCCAUCUUUCAUGGCUGCUGCAGUCCAAUUUUCUACGGCCUUCCUGUCAGAAUCACAGAGAGAAAAAAACAUCCACAAACAAGUUGGAAGUGUGGAUGUGAUAUCAGUUCAGACUUCAGGGUCCUCAUUAGCAAACGGCCCAGACAGACCCGACAGUUCUGACACCAACUCUGUCUCAUCAUCGUCCUUGAGAAUAAAAACAACAUUAUUCCUCUAAAAAAGUGUGUGUCCCCCCC